rnacentral:lncRNA from 1 species
GGGCGCGCCGAAUCCUCCGCCAACCGGCGGGCGCCACGCGUCGCGCAUCUGCAGGUCUUCGAUCGGCGCGGAAGCAUCUCGGCCGUCGGUCGGCCCUAUAUAUAUAGGACCUCCCGGACCCCUGACCCACACUUGCCAUUCUACAGGGGAAACUCUGUCCGGGCGAUUUCUCAGUCGUCGCGGGCAGAGCUCUUCUUCGCUUCCGGAGGGUCCAUUUGGUUCGUGGCCCCUUCUUCUCCUUCUUCUUCCUUCUCUUCUCUUUCUUCUUCCUUCUCUUCUCUUUCUUCUUUUUCUUUCGGUUCCGGCAUAAUGACCAGGAAUCCGACCCAGGGAGCUCGGUCGGGGAACCCGACCGACGACUCCCGAUCGGCUUCGAAAGAUGAGGCCUCCUCGCUUUCGGGGCCGAACGUCGAUCAGCUUCGGGAGCACUAUCGCAUCCCGGAGCAGUUUCGGCUCUCCGCUCCAGGGGCCGGCGGUCGGGUCAACAACCCUCCGCCUGGCGAUCUGGCGCNNN